rnacentral:rRNA from 1 species
CGGCGGACGGGUGAGUAACGCGUGGGUAACCUACCCUGUACACACGGAUAACAUACCGAAAGGUAUGCUAAUACGGGAUAAUAUAUUUGAGAGGCAUCUCUUGAAUAUCAAAGGUGAGCCAGUACAGGAUGGACCCGCGUCUGAUUAGCUAGUUGGUAAGGUAACGGCUUACCAAGGCGACGAUCAGUAGCCGACCUGAGAGGGUGAUCGGCCACAUUGGGACUGAGACACGGCCCAA